GGAUCUCGAAGAAACAACUUCACUAGAUGAAAGUCAAGAAAACUUAGAUCGGGGUUCCUUGACAUCCUUUGGGUCGGGCAACACUACUGACUCCGACAAGGUAAGAUUUACUGACAAUAUUGCACGUUGAAUUAUAUAUUCUAUUUAUUUGAUUUGUGGCAAGAAUCAAUAAUUUUGGUUUUGUUCAUUCUUCAAUGAUUCUUACAAAUACCUGUGUUAUACUGAUGUAUGGGAUUCCUCUCAAAGUCCUUCCAUAGUAGAAUAGAGACCCCCUUAUAGUUUCCCUAAAACAAGCGUUCAUAUUAAUCGUUAUUAUUAAUAAUUAAUAAAUUUAAAGUAAAGAAAUAGAAUUAACAGAAGGCAAAUAUGGUAGCUAAACUAAUACAAUUUUUAAAUAUACAGAAAGUGAAAGUUCACAUACAGUUUUACUUUAUUUUAUUUAACAUUAUUUAUUCAUUAUUUUUAAAAAUUAAAGUGCAUUAAAGUGACCAGCAAAUCUCUAAUUAUUUUUUAUUGAUGAGCAAUGGUGAAGUGGAUUCAGUUUGGCAGUUUAGCAACAUUAGAGAGAUUAGGUGUAGCCAUUUGUGAUGUUGUUAAUCUGUUUCAUUUGAAAAUGGCAAUCCAUAAUACUGCUAUUAAUGGAUUUCUUUGUUUCAAAAACAAGUAUCUUUUUUUUAAACAUAAUUUUAAAGGAUUUUUCAAAAUUUCAAGUAUACAGCAUUGAUAUGUUUGACAACAUUAAUGCAUUUUGUUUGUCUUUUUGGCAACAAUGGUUUAAAAUUGGAAGGAUUGUUUAAUUAACCACCUCUCUUAAAGAAUGAGCCGCCAAAAAAGAGCCUUGUCCAAACUUUAUUUAAAUUUUUAGAAACUGUUUGAAUUGCUGCUCAAUGUUGCAACCAGACAGCAGAGUUGUGGGAUCUGGCAAUGUCUUGAAAGAUGAGGAAUGACACAUAUUUUAAAAAUAGUCAAAACAUUUUGCAUGAGUGAUGAAUGUCCCUGUCCCUGUGCAAGCAGUGUCUCAUCUCACUCAGUGUGUCUUUGAAGAUUGGGAGCUUAAGUUGCAGAAGUCGUUCUCGGAGUUUUUCUGUGAUCCAACGAUUUUUGACUCUGAACUCCUAGUUUUUCGUGACUUAGAGCAAGUUCUAAAAUGCACAAAUUCAUCUUUUAUGAGUCUUUGUUCAGCUAAGUCGCACAAAUGUUGAUCUUUUGGGAUAAACUUCAAAACGUCUUGAGUAAUGUUAUUACCUGCUCAAAAGCCUUCAAGAAUGAGAGAUUUCAGGUGAAUUAACUCUCUUUCUUUGUUUAUAUCUCAACUCAACACUAGACUGUGCGUUACAUUUGUGCAUGCACUGUAUCUGACGGCAAAAACUAUAAUUUUGCUUGUUUUUGAGCAAGAAGAGUUUUUUGUUUUCGUUUCAAUGUCUGUACCCUCAAAAUCUCCAAUGCUUGGGUGUGAUGAUCCAAAGUUUUACACUACGAACGGUAUUCGUGAAAUGAUCAGGCUCAGUAGUAUUUUGUUUUAUUUUUUCCGUUCGAAAGAGGAAGAACUGGAAAACUUCGGUUUCAUGCAUGUGAGUAAAUAUCCACACAUUCAAAUAUUUUAACUACAUUUUCCACUAUUAAACCUUACUAAUAAUAGCUGAUUCCUAAUCUAAACAAAAAAUCCUUGUUAAAAAAGAGACAAAGUUUCAUAAAGAAUGAACCUAGGAAAAAAUUCCUGACGCAUGUGAUUUAGCAUCUAAAUUUUUAACUUCCUUUUUAAAAUGAUAACUGCAUCAUUAUUUUAUUGAAUUUAUACGAAACCUGUGUAAAUUAUGGAUUAAUUUCUGGAAAGUAGAUGAAACUAUGAACUGAUGUGCACCUAAUUUGAAGCUAUUGUUUAGGUACCACAGAAAAGUAGGGAAACUCCAAAAUUAGUAGUUGCUUAUUACUAGCAGACCUUUGCGAGGGGUAAAUGGGCCCUUGAUCCCAUACAAUAAUUGGACGUAUUUCUGUCAAACAGAACUAUGUGCAUUAUAACGUGAGCCCUGUUAUGCACAUAUUCCUAUGGGCCCCCGGGCUCAUGUCUCAAUGCACAUAGUUCCGUUUGGCAGAAACACGUCCAAUUGAAGCGUUGGGUGCAGGAAGAAUACUUCUUGAUUGUGGUGUUUCAAAAUCUCUAUUAGCGUUUAAUUCCUUAUCAUCGAAGCAAAUGUUUAGAAAUCGUUAAAACUUUAACUAAUUUUCUUUAUGAUUAUGCAAUGCUGAAAACGAAAAAUUUAAGAAAAUUCACCCAAUAGUUUCCCUUUGAAAAUAUAAAUCAGCAGCGGAGAUUCAAAAACACUGCAACCAAAAAAUCGGCGGUGUAGGUCGGCAAUCACAUAACGCGGUUUGCGACGUCGCAGACUUCCUAUCGGACUUUAUUUUCAAACGGAAAACUACUCAACGGCAAUUCUUUAAAACUGUCGUGAUUUUUCUUCUCUAUGCGAAGAAAAUUCUGCAAAAACUUCAAGAAAUGAUGUCAAUUAGUUCUCCCUUAAAAAAAUAACAUAGAGGCGGAGAUUUUCAGACACCGCAAACGAGAUAUGUGAUCGCGGACUUACGCCGUCCAAAUGUCCUUUUUGCACCCAAUUCGACAGCUACCUGUAGCAUAUGUUCUCCAUCUCCUUCCCCUAAAUUAUUGUGUCAUAUCUCUUAAACUCGGUGCAUCCUAGCUGCAGGUACCGAGCUAAACUCGGAUACCACCCUUGAGGAUGAGGAUUUUCUCCAUCUGUUUGCGGAUCUAUCUGAGUCCCGUUGUCGCUACAUGAUCGAAACUCUUCGCAUUACUCCCGACGAUUGACCAUAGCUCAAACUCAAACAAAGGAAAUCGAAUAGACC
rnacentral:lncRNA from 1 species